rnacentral:rRNA from 1 species
UACGGGGGGUGCAAGCGUUAUCCGGAAUCACUGGGUUUAAAGGGUGCGUAGGCGGUUCGAUAAGUCAGAGGUGAAAGCUAGCAGCUUAACUGUUAAAUUGCCUUUGAUACUGUUGGACUUGAAUCAGGUUGCGGUAGGCGGAAUGUGACAUGUAGCGGUGAAAUGCAUAGAUAUGUCCUAGAACACUAAUUGCGCAGGCAGCUUGCUGGGCUUGAAUUGACGCUGUGGCACGAAAGCGUGGGGAUCAAACAGG